GAUUUCGUGAAUAUUUUUAUGCUUAAAAAUUAUUUAAAAUAUUUACGGGGAGUAAUACGCUUUAGUUUUUUAGGUUAUCUAGUUUAGCUGAUUUAAAGGGAAACCUUUUUAAGUUUUCGAGUUUUGGUGGGUUUGGGUUUUUUUUUAAUAGUAAAUAACUGUGUAAUAACUUUAUUUUUGUUAGGUGAGAAAAUUUAUUCUUUUAAUAACGUAAAUAAUUAAUUAAUAGAUUAGUAGAUUUAUUUUAGUUUUGUUUUGUUUUUUUUUGUUUUAUUAAAAGUUUGUAAUUAUUUUUAUUUACUGAUUUUAUCUUAGACUGGUUAAUAAAAUCUUAGCUACAAAAUUUGUAGUUAUUUCUGCUCUAUGCUAAAAGUAAAUGGCUGUUUUUGACACUAAGGUAGCAAAAUCCUUAGUUAUUUAAUUGGUAACUUGUAUGAAUGAAUUUUCUAAGAAAAUAUUAAUUUUUUUUUUGAAUUUAUAAAUUUGUUGAAAAUAACAAUUUUUCCUAUAAGACUAAAAGACCCUAAAAUUUUUAUAACUGUGUUUAAAGGUUAUUUGGUUGGGGCAAUAGUGAAAAGUUAAUAUUAAAUGAUUUAUUUUUCUUUGAACUUUUUUUAUUGAUAAAAGGUAAAAUACUUUAGGGAUAACAGCUUAAUUAUUUUUUAGAGUUCUUAUUAUUAAAAUAGUUUUAGACCUCGAUGUUGGAUUGGAAUAACUUUUUGGGGCAG
rnacentral:rRNA from 1 species